CCAGAAGUAGGUAGCUUAACCGCAAGGAGGGCGCUUACCACGGUAGGAUUCGUGACUGGGGUGAAGUCGUAACAAGGUAGCCGUAUCGGAAGGUGCGGCUGGAUCACCUCCUUUCUAGA
rnacentral:rRNA from 4 species